CCAGUGGUGGCUCAUUUUGCCCCAAACAACAAAGUAAUUUCGAAUGCGAAUUGAUCACCGAAACCAAACUGAUGAUUUGUCGAAAAUAUCAGGUCGAAUAAUUUAAAUGUCACCGGAAAUUCUUUAAAUACGAAUGGCUACCGUGAGAUACGAAUACGAAUUAAAUACGAAUGGCUACCGUGAGAAAAGAUUCGUAUAUUUUACUACAUAGCAUUUGUAACCUUGUGUGUUUUCAUGCCUAGCAAAUGUGUGUGCAGUCGCCUUUUUUCUACUAGAAGCGAAGCGAAGCGAUUUGGAGCUUCUAAGCGUAGAUAACAAUUUAUUCACAUAUUAUAUGGCACGUUGGAGCAGCGUAACAGUAACGAAAAUCAACGAGUGGAAAAACUAAAAUUAAUCAACAAAAAUAUAGUCCGUGCUCCGCUUGUUCGUAAGGAUUUCACCAACAGCACUUCCUCGCGAUCGAAUUUUGCAGAAGUACUCUAGCGAAAACACAAGGGAGUACCGAAAGACAAAAUUCUUUCACAAUUUUAACCCCUCAGGAAGCGGCGUACAGCUGGGAUGGAGAAAUCUGACUCCGAGGAGAUUUGCUAGACAACAGCUGGACAACAGUAUAAUUGCUUAUGUGCAAUUUGGAAUUCGGAGGACAUGAGAGAAAAAAUAUGGAGGGAGAGUGCUGCUUUCUAGUAUCAUCGACUGCCUGCUAAUCAGCUGUCACUGUCCCCAGAGAAAGAAAAACAGCGAUGUAGCCAAAAAAGGAACU